rnacentral:rRNA from 1 species
GUCGCACCUACCGAUUGAAUGGUCCGGUGAAGACUCGGGAUUGUGGUUUGGCUCUUUCAUUAGGGCCUGACUGUGAGAACUCGUCUGAACCUUAUCAUUUAGAGGAAGGUG